rnacentral:tRNA from 1 species
AUUCUUAUAGUUUAAAUAAAAUAUAAUAGUGAAAAUAUUAAGAUAUAAAUUUAAGAAUA